rnacentral:rRNA from 1 species
GACGAACGCUGGCGGCGUGCCUAAUACAUGCAAGUUGAGCGCUGAAGGUUGGUACUUGUACCGACUGGAUGAGCAGCGAACGGGUGAGUAACGCGUGGGGAAUCUGCCUUUGAGCGGGGGACAACAUUUGGAAACGAAUGCUAAUACCGCAUAAAAACUUUAAACACAAGUUUUAAGUUUGAAAGAUGCAAUUGCAUCACUCAAAGAUGAUCCCGCGUUGUAUUAGCUAGUUGGUGAGGUAAAGGCUCACCAAGGCGAUGAUACAUAGCCGACCUGAGAGGGUGAUCGGCCACAUUGGGACUGAGACACGGCCCAAACUCCUACAGGAGGCAGCAGUAGGGAAUCUUCGGCAAUGGACGAAAGUCUGACCGAGCAACGCCGCGAGAGUGAAGAAGGUUUUCGGAUCGUAAAACUCUGUUGGUAGAGAAGAACGUUGGUGAGAGUGGAAAGCUCAUCAAGUGACGGUAACUACCCAGAAAGGGACGGCUAACUACGUG